GUGUCAGCCGCCGCGGUAAUACAGGGGGCGCGAGCGUUGCUCGGAAUCACUGGGCGUAAAGCGUACGCAGGCGGGUCGAUAAGUCCGUUGUGAAAUCCCGGGGCUCAACCCCGGAAAUGCGAUGGAGACUGCCGAUCUUGAGUACGGGAGAGGGGAGCGGAAUUCCUGGUGUAGAGGUGAAAUUCGUAGAUAUCAGGAGGAACACCGGUGGCGAAAGCGGCUCCCUGGCCCGAUACUGACGCUCAUGUACGAAAGCGUGGGGAGCAAACAGGAUUAGAAACCCCGGUAGUCC
rnacentral:rRNA from 1 species